UAUCAAGGACCGAGGAUAGGAUGUCAAGAAGCCUAACAAAUUCUGGACAAAGCAUCGCCAACGAAAUUACUCAUGGCGAUUGUGAUCCGUUUGCAAAAAGUCCUCUUUCAGGACCAAUACCAUGUUCAGGCAGUGUUUCUCUGCGAUCAAGUAGUAGCACUACCAGCUCAUUCGUUUGCUUUCCCCAUAUUGCCAUCUGAAUGGAGUGGCAGUCCAGUAAGAAUGGCAGAAGCUGACCCGAGACGGCCAAGGAAGCACCAGAGUUGGAGAACCUGUUUUCUCUGCUGAUUCGGAAAACAUGCUUUUCAACAAUGGUGUGAUACUAAAUUAUAAAUCUAUCAAUGAUGCUUUUCAAUUGUCAUACAAUGUGUUCUUUUACCUUCCAACAAACAAGAAAAAGAUUGUCUUUUGUCUCUUUAUACCGUCAAUGACACACAAAAGUUCAAUUUUAUACAAAUCAUCUGUUGUUCCAUAAUUGCAAUAUGACAAGUUUUACAUGAGAAUCAGUAAUGUCCUUGAUUUUUGUCAAGGGAUUGAUGACCUGGUUUCAGCCGAGUGACGGAUAUGUAGAUAGUAGGAGAA